rnacentral:lncRNA from 1 species
AGGCGCUAAAACUUGUGCUCGCAGAGGUGAUGAGGGAUGGAGAUAAGGCCGACAGGCAACAUGGAGACGUGCGUCCAGCUCUUGAAAAGAUAAUGCCGACAACGGAUAAACUAGAAGCUAGAAACGAUGGGGAUAAGUCUAGAGGAAGAUAAGGACGUGUGGGAGUAAGACAUGCCGCUUCAGGGAUUUUGGCCACGUAAUAGUAAUGCUGGCGGUGGAUGAAAUUUCCAAGGAAAUCAAGGAACAUACGAGAGACACUUUCUGGGAGCCAUUUUUUUACGUAGGAUGAGGAUUAGUUGGAGAUGGACACUUAGAGGUAAGAAAAUUCAGAUUUUCCUUCUCCAAUCUUUAACCAAUAGAAUACCCCAAAUAAGUAAAAAUCUGGGAUUUGAAUCCGAGCGAGAUGCAAACAGACCCAUCAAAAC